UAGCUCCGUUGGUAGAGCAUGGUGUUUGCAAUGCCAGGGUUGUGGGUUCGAUUCCCAC
rfam:Salmo salar isolate Sally breed double haploid chromosome ssa22, whole genome shotgun sequence.